rnacentral:rRNA from 1 species
UACGUAGGUGGCGAGCGUUGUCCGGAUUUAUUGGGUUUAAAGGGUGCGUAGGCGGCUUUGUAAGUCAGUGGUGAAAUACUCCAGCUUAACUGGAGGGGUGCCAUUGAUACUGCGGAGCUUGAGUACAGAUGAGGUAGGCGGAAUUGACGGUGUAGCGGUGAAAUGCAUAGAUAUCGUCAAGAACACCGAUAGCGAAGGCAGCUUACUGGGCUGUAACUGACGCUGAUGCACGAAGGCCAGGGGAGCAAACGGG